rnacentral:rRNA from 1 species
UACGUAGGUGGCAAGCGUUGUCCGGAUUUAUUGGGUUUAAAGGGUGCGUAGGCGGCUUUGUAAGUCAGUGGUGAAAUAUGGCAGCUCAACUGUCAAGGUGCCAUUGAUACUGCGGAGCUUGAGUACAGAUGAGGUAGGCGGAAUUGACGGUGUAGCGGUGAAAUGCGCAGAUAUCAGGAGGAACACCGAUGGCGAAGGCAGGUCUCUGGGCCGAUACUGACGCUGAGGAGCGAAAGCGUGGGGAGCGAACAGG